UUCGCUUUUUUUUGUCUCUCUCUCUCUCUCUCUUUACUUUUUUAAAAGGAAAAAAAAAUUAUUUGCAUAAGGAAUGAAAAUAGAGAGAAAGAGGGAGAGAGAGGGAGAAAGAGAGAGAA